CACGUAGGGCGCGAGCGUUGUCCGGAAUUAUUGGGCGUAAAGAGCUCGUAGGCGGCCUGUUGCGUCCGCUGUGAAAGCCCGGGGCUUAACCCCGGGUCGGCAGUGGAUACGGGCAGGCUAGAGGUAGGUAGGGGAGAAUGGAAUUCCCGGUGUAGCGGUGAAAUGCGUAGAUAUCUGGAGGAACACCGGUGGCGAAGGCGGCAUCCUGGACCGAUAUUGACGCUGAUGCGCGAAAGCCAGGGGAGCAAACGGG
rnacentral:rRNA from 1 species